GACGAACGCUGGCGGCGUGCUUAACACAUGCAAGUCGAACGCUGAAGCACCAGCUUGCUGGUGUGGAUGAGUGGCGAACGGGUGAGUAAUACGUGAGUAACCUGCCCUUGACUCUGGGAUAAGCCCGGGAAACUGGGUCUAAUACUGGAUGCUACAUGUCACCGCAUGGUGGUGUGUGGAAAGGGUUUACUGGUCUUGGAUGGGCUCACGGCCUAUCAGCUUGUUGGUGAGGUAAUGGCUCACCAAGGCGACGACGGGUAGCCGGCCUGAGAGGGUGACCGGCCACACUGGGACUGAGACACGGCCCAGACUCCUACGGGAGGCAGCAGUGGGGAAUAUUGCACAAUGGGCGAAAGCCGGAUGCAGCGGCGCCGCGUGAGGGAUGACGGCCUUCGGGUUGUAAACCUCUUUCAGCAGGGAAGAAGCCACAAGUGACGGUACCUGCAGAAGAAGCGCCGGCUAACUACG
rnacentral:rRNA from 1 species